UCCUACCAUCGACCAUCGAUGUAUACAGGGAAGAGCAAGAACAUUCCAAGUUUCCUCCCUGGCAUAUCCAGAUAGGGCUGAGAGAGACUCCUGUCUGCAACCUUGGAGAAGCCGCUGCCAGUCUGUGCAGACAAUACUGAGCUCAGUAGAAGGCAGACUCAGUAGAAGGUCUGACUCAGUAGAAGGCAGCUUCCUGCAUUCCUAUGCACUGGCAACCAGCAUAAAGAAUGCGUGCUUCCUUCUAAAAAGCCCCCGACUCCUUGGAGCAGAUGCCUUCACCAUAGAGCCAUUCAUUCCCAGGAGAGGCUUUGGAAAUUCUGGCUCCGCUCCCCUCACAAAACAGGUCUUUGUUUGCUGCAAACACGGCUACACCCACCAGCAUAACCCGGCGUGUUUUUACAGAAGCUACCCACACUGCGUGGCAAGUCACCAAGAGCUUCUGUUGACUACUGCCUGUAGUGCAUGGAACAACAAACAAAGCAAUUAUAAUCCAGACGUGGGUCCCUCCCUCUCAUAUUUGCUCAUGCUCAUACCAAAGAAAUGUGGGAUUUAUUUUUCACAAAUAAAUUUAUCGCAUUCA